GUAACAAGUUACCCGUAAGUUUUCACCGGUACCCGUAGAUUUUGACCCUGGCUCAGUGGAUCAGUACCGGGGGCCCCAAUAACUUGUGAGUGGCCUUCCCUUGACUCUGGGAUAAGCCUGGGAAACCGGGUCUAAUACCGGAUACGACCUCCCAUCGCAUGGUGUGGGGGUGGAAAGAUUCAUCGGUCUUGGAUGGACUCGCGGCCUAUCAGCUGGUUGGUGGGGUAAUGGCCCACCAAGGCGACGACGGGUAGCCGGCCUGAGAGGGUGACCGGCCACACUGGGACUGAGACACGGCCCAGACUCCUACGGGAGGCAGCAGUGGGGAAUAUUGCACAAUGGGCGCAAGCCUGAUGCAGCGACGCCGCGUGAGGGAUGACGGCCUUCGGGUUGUAAACCUCUUUCAGUAGGGAAGAAGCGCAAGUGACGGUACCUGCAGAAGAAGCGCCGGCUAACUACGUGCCAGCAGCCGCGGUAAUACGUAGGGCGCGAGCGUUAUCCGGAAUUAUUGGGCGUAAAGAGCUCGUAGGCGGUUUGUCGCGUCUGCCGUGAAAGUCCGGGGCUUAACCCCGGAUCUGCGGUGGGUACGGGCAGACUGGAGUGCAUAGGGGAGC
rnacentral:rRNA from 1 species